rnacentral:rRNA from 1 species
AGCGCAACCCCUAUCCAAUAAGUUGAUAGCAGCUCGGCUGAGAACCCUAGGGAGACUACCGGUGACAAACCGGAGGAAGGUGGGGAUGACGUCAGGUCAUCAUGGCCCUUACGGCCAGGACUACACACGUGCUACAAUGGAGCGUACAGAGGGCUGCAAACCCGCGAGGGGGAGCUAAUCUCACAAAACGCAUCGUAGUCCGGAUAGGAGUAUGCAACUCGACUCCGUGAAGUCGGAAUCGCUAGUAAUCGCGAAUCAGAAUGUCGCGGUGAAUACGUUCCCGGGCCUUGUACACACCGCCCGUCACACCAUGGGAGUGGAUUGCACCAGAAGUGGUUAGUCUAACCUUCGGGAGGACGAUCACCACGGUGUGGUUCAUGACUGGGGUGAAGUCGUAACAAGGUAG